rnacentral:rRNA from 1 species
GACAGAGGAUGCAAGCGUUAUCCGGAAUGAUUGGGCGUAAAGCGUCUGUAGGUGGCUUUUUAAGUCCGCCGUCAAAUCCCAGGGCUCAACCCUGGACAGGCGGUGGAAACUACCAAGCUGGAGUACGGUAGGGGCAGAGGGAAUUUCCGGUGGAGCGGUGAAAUGCGUAGAGAUCGGAAAGAACACCCGUGGCGAAGGCGGUUCUCUGGGACGGUACUGACGCUGAGACGCGAAAGCGUGGGGAGCGAACAGG